rnacentral:rRNA from 1 species
GAUGGACGCUGGCGGCGUGCCUAAUACAUGCAAGUCGAGCGAACAGACGAGAGUGCUUGCACUCUCUGACGUUAGCGGCGGACGGGUGAGUAACACGUGGGUAACCUACCUAUAAGACUGGGAUAACUUCGGGAAACCGGAGCUAAUACCGGAUAAUAUUUAGCUUCGCAUGGAGCAAUAGUGAAAGACGGUUCUGCUGUCACUUAUAGAUGGACCCGCGGUGUAUUAGCUAGUUGGUGAGGUAACGGCUCACCAAGGCAACGAUACAUAGCCGACCUGAGAGGGUGAUCGGCCACACUGGGACUGAGACACGGCCCAGACUCCCACGGGAGGCAGCAGUAGGGAAUCUUCCGCAAUGGACGAAAGUCUGACGGAGCAAUGCCGCGUGAGUGAAGAAGGUUUUCGGAUCGUAAAACUCUGUUGUAAGGGAAGAACAAGUACGUUAGUAACUGAACGUACCUUGACGGUACCUUACCAGAAAGCCACGGCUAACUACGUG